rnacentral:rRNA from 1 species
UACGUAGGGGGCAAGCGUUGUCCGGAUUUAUUGGGCGUAAAGAGCGUGUAGGCGGCCUUACAGGUCAGCUGUGAAAACUCGAGGCUCAACCUCGAGACGUCGGUUGAAACCGUAAGGCUAGAGUCCGGAAGAGGAGAGUGGAAUUCCCGGUGUAGCGGUGAAAUGCGCAGAUAUCGGGAAGAACACCCGUGGCGAAGGCGGCUCUCUGGGACGGUACUGACGCUGAGACGCGAAAGCGUGGGGAGCGAACAGGA